UGUUGGUGAUGUAGGAAAUCUAUAAGAAGAGACUUGAAUCUCUCCCAUGCAUGAUAGAGAUUUUUUUCUGGCUUCUACUUAAAACUUAAGAUCUCACUCCUUAAUCC